ensembl:lncRNA
GGAAGCAGGUGAGCAAAGGAGUCAAGUGUGAAGGAGCUCCUCCUGACAGAGAGAGAAUGGAUUUUAGGAGGUCAAAGUGAACGAUGCUGUGGCAGCUUGGACUAGAAUGUGGAGAGAAGUGGAUCUUUCGGAUCCAUCUUGCGGUGUUUUUACUGAUACGAGAUCAUGGUGGAUGAGAGGGAGAAGAUCCACAUCUCACAUGUUUCUUGGAAGGGAAAAUCCCACCCUCUUCAACUGUCAGCAGCGAAAAGGCUGGGUCUGACCCAGGCCAAACUCUCCCCACCUCACAUCAUUUCACAAGCAGGGAAUCUGAAGCUCAGAGCUGUUUGCACAAAGUCACACCCCAUCUGGUCCUCGGCAGAGUCUGAGGUCUCCUGAUGCCUCAGCCAGGGUUUUCUCCACUGUAUGAGCUGACUCAAGGCACAAGGGGGCAGAGGUUUGAACUAGCAGUAAUUCCAGCCCUCCUAUCCUGAACUGACAAAAGGUCCUUGCUGCUUAGAGGUCAGUGCUCAGAACUGGCUGCCUCAGCUCUAGCCACGCCAGCACCUUCCCUCUGGCCAGCCUAACAGAAACUUAAAGAGGUCUGUUGCUAAGAAACAUCCCCCAUAUUCAAGUGUGUAUGAAAUACAAGAUCCAGGUGUCACUGGAACAUAAAUUAGGUAGCAGUGAGGUACACAACUGAACUGUAUUUCCCAGCCCCCUUUGCAUCUGUAUGGG